rnacentral:rRNA from 1 species
AGAGUUUGAUCCUGGCUCAGAUUGAACGCUGGCGGCAUGCCUUACACAUGCAAGUCGAACGGCAGCGCGGGGCAACCUGGCGGCGAGUGGCGAACGGGUGAGUAAUAUAUCGGAACGUACCCUGGAGUGGGGGAUAACGUAGCGAAAGUUACGCUAAUACCGCAUACGAUCUACGGAUGAAAGUGGGGGACCGCAAGGCCUCAUGCUCGUGGAGCGGCCGAUAUCUGAUUAGCUAGUUGGUGAGGUAAAGGCUCACCAAGGCGACGAUCAGUAGCUGGUCUGAGAGGACGAUCAGCCACACUGGAACUGAGACACGGUCCAGACUCCUACGGGAGGCAGCAGUGGGGAAUUUUGGACAAUGGGCGCAAGCCUGAUCCAGCAAUGCCGCGUGAGUGAAGAAGGCCUUCGGGUUGUAAAGCUCUUUUGUCAGGGAAGAAACGGUAGGAGCUAAUAUCUCUUGCUAAUGACGGUACCUGAAGAAUAAGCACCGGCUAACUACGUGCCAGCAGCCGCGGUAAUACGUAGGGUGCAAGCGUUAAUCGGAAUUACUGGGCGUAAAGCGUGCGCAGGCGGUUUUGUAAGUUUGUCGUGAAAUCCCCGGGCUUAACCUGGGAAUUGCGAUGAAGACUGCAAGGCUAGAAUCUGGCAGAGGGGGGUAGAAUUCCACGUAGCAGUGAAAUGCGUAGAGAUGUGGAGGAACACCGAUGGCGAAGGCAGCCCCCUGGGUCAAGAUUGACGCUCAUGCACGAAAGCGUGGGGAGCAAACAGGAUUAGAUACCCUAGUAGUCC